rnacentral:sRNA from 1 species
AGUCUUCAAUUUUGUCUGGUAUCUGAGCCCUGCCUCUGGAAUCAAGUCCUGCCUCCUACCUCAGUCACAUGGAGUAAUCUCCAUAAAGAACUACCAUCCGAAGAUAAGAAUCAUCACUCAAAUGCUGCAGUAUCACAACAAGGCCCAUCUGCUAAACAUCCCGAGCUGGAAUUGGAAAGAAGGUGAUGACGCAAUCUGCCUCGCAGAGUUGAAGUUGGGCUUCAUAGCCCAGAGCUGCCUGGCUCAAGGCCUCUCCACCAUGCUUGCCAACCUCUUCUCCAUGAGGUCAUUCAUAAAGAUUGAGGAAGACACGUGGCAGAAAUACUACUUGGAAGGAGUCUCAAAUGAAAUGUACACAGAAUAUCUCUCCAGUGCCUUCGUGGGUCUGUCCUUCCCUACUGUUUGUGAGCUGUGUUUUGUGAAGCUCAAGCUCCUAAUGAUAGCCAUUGAGUACAAGUCUGCCAACCGAGAGAGCCGUAUAUUAAUUAAUCCUGGAAACCAUCUUAAGAUCCAAGAAGGUACUUUAGGAUUUUUCAUCGCAAGUGAUGCCAAAGAAGUUAAAAGGGCAUUUUUUUACUGCAAGGCCUGUCAUGAUGACAUCACAGAUCCCAAAAGAAUAAAAAAAUGUGGCUGCAAACGGCUUGAAGAUGAGCAGCCGUCAACACUAUCACCAAAAAAAAA